CAAUGGCUCCUUGUUUAAGGAAGCAUCUCCGGGGAGGAACCCAAGCCCAGGCGCUUCUUGACUCUCCUCUUUCCAUUAGGACAAUUUCUUUGUAGUUUAACAGAGAGCUCACCUAGCUCAAGCCAGGCCAUGGCCACUCAGAAUCGUGAGAUGUCGAAUGGCUGGCCACUUGGGCUACAGAUAAUGACCAUGAGGCUUCGGUUACAAGAAAGACUACAGGCUGCAGCUCCAACGGUGGAACCAUAUUCUUUGCACAUGCCUUCAAGCAGUUUUUCCUCAUUCUCCUCCUCCAACCUUGACACCGAGUCCUCAGCAUCAUUUUUCCAAGACAACAGCGUUUCUCUGGGGAGGCUAAUUGGGUUCAGACCACGCGACAGAGGAGCACUGUACUUUCAGAACACAAUCCAUGCUGAAGAGAACAACAGGCUACCUGUAACAGGUGCCUGCAAGGAUGUCUCCAGACGACACAAUUCAGAUAUGUCUCAGGGAAUUUGCAUCCCACUGAUACUAGGCGCUCUGGUAAAGAUGAGCAGGAAUAGGAGCAAGUCAAAGCAAUUGGAUGAUUAAGGGUGAAGAAGCCAUUCGAUUUUCUUUGAUGGCCAUGGCAUAAAAAAAAAGAAUAAAACCCUCGUUGACCACCUCCACCAAAUUCUUUUCUGCCGUGUAUUCAGAAAUUACCCAUUAAUUGUAAGAUUGUCACCUUAACAAUUUUAUUUGUAUGGAAUUCUUGAUUUUCACAGCAUUAUUUAGAGGGUAGCAAAUGGAAUCAAGUUAAUCUAGAGCUGCAUUUGUAAAAUGCAAGGAAAUUAACUCCUCAAUUUGUCUUGUUAAUCGUAAGUUGGCUGCAUAUUAUAGCAUAGCUUCAUUACUUUUAAUCAAUAGAAGUUCCCGUUGUAAUGGAUUGUCAAAAAAUAAAAUAAUCCAUUGUCAAGACUGCUAAAUCAGCCACGUGGAAGAGAAGCUCCACGUGUCAGGUAGAUGAGCAAGAACCAUAUGCGUUUCCGUACGAGUGUAUACACAGAAAACAUCAGCGCUAAAUUGUAAAACCCUUGGAAAUCUCAAAACCCCCACACGAAUGCACAAAGCUUCUAAAAUCUCCACCACCAAAAAAAUGUCCGCCGCCAGGUCCGUCCUCCGUUCCGCCGCUUCCCGAGCGACCGCUGCGACUAGACUCGCCGCCGGACCCAAGGCAGUGCCGCGACCCGCUCGCUCUCCCUUUCGGGUCUCCAAGCAAAGCCCGUUCUCUUCUCGCAUUUUCAGGUCACCGGUGGAGAUGAGCUGCUGUGUGGAAACCAUUUUGCCGUAUCACACAGCCACUGCUUCGGCUUUGCUGACUUCGAUGCUGUCCGUCUCUCAACGGAGCUCCGGUUGGACCCCUGAAGAUUGCAAUGAUGAUGUAUGAUGAAUGUCAGAGAGUUCGGGCAAAGUUUUUGAUAAAUGCAGUCUAAGACAAGGUGGUGGAAUAAAGCUUUAUAGUAGGGUCUUAGAUACUUUUUCCUUCUUAAAUUUUUAACUAGGUGAUGAAUAACAUUCUUUUUAGUCAACAAGUUGGAAGGAAUUAAGUCAAAAAUAUAUGCUUUUGGAGGUUUUGUAAUUGAAAGAUAGGAUAGGAUACGAUGAUGAUGAUGAUGAUGAUGUUUUGUUAUUCUAUUAAUGUUCAUUGCACUUAAUUUGAAAGCACUCUUUAUA